CAGGCUUAGUCAAACGAGGUAAAGUAACGUUUAUUCAUUUGUUUUCCGGAGGAAAGUGAUUGUAGUGCUUCGAAUGGAAUCAUUUGAAGGAUGCUUACCACGGAAGCCGCUAUUAUGCUGUAGCAUUUGCACCGGAGACAUCGUUACCAGUACGGAUCCUGUCCCAGGGAAAAACAGAAUGAAAUGAAUCUUAGUUAGUACCCGAGGAAGCGGACGAUGAGCGAUCACUGUUAUAGGAGAAAAGCUCUUCAAAUGUGAAUUUCGUGGAAAAAAAUUGGCGAAAAUCCAAAAACUCAUUCUACACGUGCGGACUCACACAGGUGAACGCCCUUUAUGCUUGUCCCCACUGGCCGAAAAUAUUCACUCAAUCGGUAACGCUUAAGAUUCACACCAGGGUGCAUACCCGGGAAACUCCAUAAUUGUGCGAAUACUGCGACCGAGGGUUCACUCAAUCCUACAAUUUGACGGUGCACCUACGAACCCAACACAAACAUAUAACGGUAUACCGAGGACGUGCCGGCGUGCUGCCCGAGUACAAAUGUCGGCGAAAAGUUUCCGGCUGCCACCGGGAAACUUCAAUUGUCGCAAUCGUGGUAAAAAGUAUACCUUUGUGCACAAAUGCAAGGCUUCUAAGGCCGAAGUGAAGGAAAAGAUGUACUCGUGUAAAAUCUGCAGCCAAACCUUCAAGCAUCAGCAGAACGUCGUGAGCAACAAACACAAACGGUUCGACAAAAAUUUGAGGGAUCUGGAGACGGACGAAGAAGAGACAAAAAUUUGAGAGAUCCCAAUGUAUAAGUUCCGACUGCAGUUGUUCGGAGUUCGGAAUGCGCUCCAGAACCUAACUGGAGCCGACAUAUAGGGAGAUGGCUGAUUAUCCGGCAAAAUCUACUGCAACUGCUUCUGUAGCUUUGCAUUGCAUUUAAAUGCUUAUUCUCCUAUGUUUAAUUUCCCGAUUAAAAAAACAAAAAUUAGCCACUACCAAUCCGUAUAAAUGUGUACCGUAUGCCAACCAUAUUAUCAAGCUAAUUCAGGUUUAAAACUAUUUUUAAUAUGGUGCAAUCAACAAUAGAAUAACUAUUGCCUGGUAUGAUAUCGAGCAAAACCAUCAUCGUUUUUCAUACGCGACCAUACAAUCAGGCCCCUGC